rnacentral:sRNA from 1 species
GUCGUGAGAUGUUGGGUUAAGUCCCGCAACGAGCGCAACCCUUGUCAUUAGUUGCUACAUUCAGUUGGGCACUCUAAUGAGACUGCCGGUGACAAACCGGAGGAAGGCGGGGAUGACGUCAAGUCCUCAUGGCCCUUAUGGGUAGGGCUUCACACGUAAUACAAUGGCGCGUACAGAGGGUUGCCAAGGAGCGAUCUGGAGCCAAUCCCACUAAAGCGCGUCGUAGUCCGGAUUGCAGUCUGCAACUCGACUGCAUGAAGUCGGAAUCGCUAGUAAUCGCGGAUCAGCAUGUCGCGGUGAAUACGUUCCCGGGUCUUGUACACACCGCCCGUCACACCAUGGGAGUGGGUUUCACCAGAAGCCGGUCGCCUAACCGCAAGGGGGGCGCCGACCACGGUGAGAUUCAUGACUGGGGUGAAGUCGUAACAAGGUAGCCGUAUCGGAAGGUGCGGCUGGAUCACCUCCUUUCUAAGAUGGCGCUACUCAGUGCCCACCCUCUAUCGGCUGUUCUUUUGAACAGCAGCCGCAACACAAACAAAGCGACCCAAGCGGGUCUGUAGCUCAGUUGGUUAGAGCACCGUCUUGAUAAGGCGGGGGUCGAUGGUUCGAAUCCAUCCAGACCCACCAACAAGCAAGGGACGAGGCCCGAGGGGCCACGCCCGAGAAAGAGCAACAGCAACCCGCGGGGGCCAUAGCUCAGCUGGGAGAGCGCCUGCUUUGCAAGCAGGAGGUCAUCGGUUCGAUCCCGAUUGGCUCCACCAGCAAACGAAAACGAGGAAUCAGCAAUCAACGUCGCUCGCGCGACGCUGAUUGGUGCUUCUUCAAAACAGCAUCGAUCGGCUGCUCUUUAACAAUCCGGGAUAGAAGGUAAAGUUGUUUUCGUCUUGCGAGGCGCGUCGUGGUUUGGCGUGCGCGAGCGAGGCGAAGGCUAACUGGGUUAUGUAUUGCAUCGUGCCCUGGCUUUGAAGAUUGCCGGGGUGCAAGCACAAGCGUGAGAAUUUCCUAUUUCGUUGUGAUGCCUUGGGGGACUUUGCCCUGGGGUGCUUCGUGGUUUGAGGCAGCAAGGUUAUAGGGUCAAGCGAAUAAGUGCAUGUGGUGGAUGCCUUGGCGAUGAUAGGCGACGAAGGACGUGACAGCCUGCGAUAAGCUGCGGGGAGCCGGCAAAUGGGCUUUGAUCCGCAGAUUU